AGCGAACGCUGGCGGCAGGCUUAACACAUGCAAGUCGAGCGGGCCCUUCGGGGUCAGCGGCGGACGGGUGAGUAACGCGUGGGAACGUGCCUUCUGGUUCGGAUUAACUCAGGGAAACUUGAGCUAAUACCGGAUACGCCCUUUUGGGGAAAGGUUUACUGCCGGAAGAUCGGCCCGCGUCUGAUUAGCUAGUUGGUGGGGUAACGGCCUACCAAGGCGACGAUCAGUAGCUGGUCUGAGAGGAUGAUCAGCCACACUGGGACUGAGACACGGCCCAGACUCCUACGGGAGGCAGCAGUGGGGAAUAUUGGACAAUGGGCGCAAGCCUGAUCCAGCCAUGCCGCGUGAGUGAUGAAGGCCUUAGGGUUGUAAAGCUCUUUUAUCCGGGACGAUAAUGACGGUACCGGAGGAAUAAGCCCCGGCUAACUUCGUG
rnacentral:rRNA from 1 species